rnacentral:rRNA from 1 species
AUUGAACGCUGGCGGCAGGCCUAACACAUGCAAGUCGAACGAGUGGCGGACGGGUGAGUACUGUCUGGGAAACUGCCCGAUGGAGGGGGAUAACUACUGGAAACGGUAGCUAAUACCGCAUACCAUCGGAUGUGCCCAGCGGGGCUUGGCUGGUAGGUGGGGUAACGGCUCACCUAGGCGACGAACCCUAGCUGGUCUGAGCGGAUGACCAGCAACCCUGGAACGUAGACACGGUACAGACUCCUACGGGAGGCAGCAGUGGGGAAGAUUGCACAAUGGGCGCAAGGCUGAUGCAGCCAUGCCGCGUGUAUGAAGAAGGCCUUCGGGUGGUAAAGUCCUUUCAGCGAGGAGGCGUUACUCGCAGAAGAAGCACCGGCUAACUCCGUGCCAGCAGCCGCGGUAAUAC